GAUGAAGAACGCAGCAAAAUGCGAUAAGUAAUGUGAAUUGCAGAAUUCAGUGAAUCAUCGAAUCUUUGAACGCACAUUGCGCCCGCCAGUAUUCUGGCGGGCAUGCCUGUUCGAGCGUCAUUUCAACCCUCAAGCACAGCUUGGUGUUGGGACUCGCGUUAAUUCGCGUUCCUCAAAUUGAUUGGCGGUCACGUCGAGCUUCCAUAGCGUAGUAGUAAAACCCUCGUUACUGGUAAUCGUCGCGGCCACGCCGUUAAACCCCAACUUCUGAAUGUUGACCUCGGAUCAGGUAGGAAUACCCGCUGAACUUAAGCAUAUCAAUAAGCGAGGA
rnacentral:misc_RNA from 1 species